UACGGGGGGGGCAAGCGUUGUUCGGAAUUACUGGGCGUAAAGGGCUCGUAGGUGGCCAACUAAGUCAGACGUGAAAUCCCUCGGCUUAACCGGGGAACUGCGUCUGAUACUGGAUGGCUUGAGUUCGGGAGAGGGAUGCAGAAUUCCAGGUGUAGCGGUGAAAUGCGUAGAUAUCCGGAGGAGCACCAGCGGCGAAGGCGGCAUCCUGGACUGGUCCUGACACUCAGGAGCGAAAGCGUGGGGAGCGAUCCGG
rnacentral:rRNA from 1 species